rnacentral:rRNA from 1 species
UACGAAGGGGGCUAGCGUUGCUCGGAAUCACUGGGCGUAAAGGGUGCGUAGGCGGGUCUUUAAGUCAGGGGUGAAAUCCUGGAGCUCAACUCCAGAACUGCCUUUGAUACUGGAGACCUUGAGUUCGGGGAGAGGUGAGUGGAACUGCGAGUGUAGAGGUGAAAUUCGUAGAUAUUCGCAAGAACACCAGUGGCGAAGGCGACUUACUGGCCGCAUAGUACGCUGAGGUGCGAAAGCGUGGGGAGCAGA